rnacentral:rRNA from 1 species
GACGAACGCUGGCGGCGCGCCUAACACAUGCAAGUCGAGCGAUGAAAUUUUAACCGCUCUCUUCGGAGAGAAGAUAAAAUGGAUUAGCGGCGGACGGGUGAGUAACACGUGAGAAACCUGCCUUUCACAAGGGGAUAGCCUCGGGAAACCGGGAUUAAUACCCUAUGACACAUUUCCUUCGCAUGGAAGAAAUGUUAAAACUCCGGUGGUGAAAGAUGGUCUCGCGCCUGAUUAGCUAGUUGGUGGGGUAACGGCCCACCAAGGCCAUGAUCAGUAACCGGGCUGAGAGGGUGAACGGUCACAAUGGAACUGAGACACGGUCCAAACUCCUACGGGAGGGAGCAGUGGGGAAUAUUGCACAAUGGAGGAAAAUCUGAUGCAGCGACGCCGCGUGAGCGAUGAAGGCUUUCGAGUCGUAAAGCUCUGUCCUAUGGGAAGAUAAUGACGGUACCAUAGGAGGAAGCCCCGGCUAACUACGUG